UACGAAGGGGGCUAGCGUUGUUCGGAAUUACUGGGCGUAAAGCGCGUGUAGGCGGUUGCCCAAGUCGGGUGUGAAAGCCUUGAGCUCAACUCAAGAAAUGCACUCGGUACUGGGUGACUAGAGGACCGGAGAGGAUAGUGGAAUUCCCGGUGUAGCGGUGAAAUGCGUAGAGCUCGGGAAGAACAUCGGUGGCGAAAGCGCUCUACUGGACUGCAACUGACACUCAGGGACGAAAGCUAGGGGAGCGAAUGGG
rnacentral:rRNA from 1 species